AAGUCGUAACAAGGUUUCCGUAGGUGAACCUGCGGAAGGAUCAUUACCACAUCCAAAAUCUUUAUAUCAACCCACAAGUGUGAAGUUGUGAUGAGGAACUUUUUUUUUUUUCCAAAUCAAUUUUUUUUUGAACCCCUUUUGAACAUUUUUUAUUGAGAAUAAGCAAGACUAUAACCAAUGAGAAAAGAGAAAAACAACUUUUAACGGUGGAUCUCUUGGCUCGU
rnacentral:misc_RNA from 1 species